AAUCAAUAAUAAUAUUAUUUAUUAGUAAAGAAUACAAAAAUAACUUCUUAUUCCUCACUAACACCUAAAAUAAAUAAUUCGGUAUAUAAAUUCUGUAAAAUCUCUUUCUCUCUGUUAUACAUGAACAGUAUAAAUCAACAAACAAAUCAAUACUUUCCACAUGGAAUCAAGGAAAAUUCAGAAUCAUCAGAUUAAUUCAGUGCUUGAAGAUGGCGAGCAUUGAAAGAACAACCGAAGCUCCAAUCACGGCCAUGGAGCUGGAAACGGAUCCGGCAGCUCCGGCGUCGGGUCCUGGUGCGGGUGCCGGCGACAGAUCUUGAGCGGAGGCGACGGCAAAGAAAAGAGCCACGACGAGCACGACGGCGAAGGAGAAUGUCUGAGAUGCCAUGGCUAGAGAGAGUUUGGAGAGAGAAAGAGAAUAGAAUUCAAAGGUGUAAUGAGGCUCUGUUUUAUUUUGUGAUAUCAGAUCGGAGAAGGUGGUGGUAUUUAUAGUGGGUGUGGAAAGGCGCGUGGGGCCCACGGAACGUGGACAGCUGUGCGGUGUGAUGUAUUGAGGUGUGAAUGAAUGGAAGUGAGUUGUGAGAAAGUUGUUUUUGCUUUUGUGUGUUUGGUUGGUUAAACGACAUUGUCGCUUAUUCUGUCGGUUUCAACAUUUAUCGUGGAACCCGUCAUCUACGCUGUUGUGUACUUUUUUUUCGAGACUCAGACUAACGUUGUUUAGUACCGUUGGAUAUAUUUCUUUUAAAUAAAAUUACUUAAUUUUCUUUUUAUUUUUAAUUUGGUUUAAUGAUUAUCUCUAUUUUCGGUGACUUUUAAUUAGGUUCCUCAUUUUUUCUUUUUCUCAAUUGGUCCCUAUUUUUGAAAAAUUGAAACAAUUAGGUCACUGUCAUUAGUUCCGCUCUAAUACCGUUAAAAAGGGUGACACGUGUCAGCUCAUGAUUUUUUUGAAUUUUUUAAAUAUAUUUUUUAAUUAUUUUUAUUUUUAUUUUUUAUUUUUAUUCUUUUAAAAAUAAAAUUUGCCACGUGUCAAGUUGAUAUUGUGCCACGUAGUAGUGACAGUGUGAGGUGGCACUGAUAGUGCCACGUGUCACUGAUAGUGCCACGUGUCACUGACAGUGACACGUGUCAUUGCGUUUGUUUCAAUUUGGUUCUUGUAUUUUUAUUUUGUUCCAAUUUGGUCCUUGUAUUUUUAUUUUGUCUCAAUUUAGUCCUAAUUUUUUUAAAAAUUUAAAAAAGAUUUGUUCGUUCCCAAAUAAAAUACGGUAUGUACAUUUUCCAAAUUUUUGUCUUUAAAUUUAUUUUUGUUAAGCAAAUUAUUAGUAAUGAUGUAUUUCAAAUCAAAAUAUUUAACUCUAGAAACUUUUUAUGAAUUAAGUAUUGAGACCAUGCUUGUGUAGAUUACAUUCACAAAAAUAUUUAUUAUUGAGAUGUUAACUUUUAUAGGUUACUCAUUCAUAUUAUUUAGGUUAAAUGAUUUCUUUAUUACUAUAUAAAUAAAAAUGUGUCAUAUGUUAGUUUGUAAAUUUUUUUAUUUUUCUAAUAAAAAAAUUAAUUUGUACAAAUUUCUUUGUAAAAAUUUAUAUACAAAUAAAAAUAAAAUUUUGUUUGAACUUGGAGAGAAACAAAAUUGUUUAGUUUUUUUAAAAAAAAAGGACUAAAUUAAGACAAAAUAAGAAUAUAGGGACCAAAUUGAGACAAAUUAAAAAUAUAGGGACCAAAUUAAGACAAAUCUAAUGACACGUGGUCUAAUAGUGACACGUGGCACUAUCAGUGCCACCUCACAUUGUCAUUGUCACGUGGUUCAAUGUCAACUUGACACGUGGCAUUUUUUUUAAAUAAAUAAAAAAAUUAAAAAUAAAAAUAAAAAUAAUUAAAAAUAUAUUCAAAAAAUUCACGAGCUGACACAUGUCACCCUUUUUAACGGUGUUAGUACGGAACUAACGACAAUGACCUAAUUGCUUCAAUUUUUCACAAAUAGGGACCCAAUUGAGAAAAGAAAAAUGAGGGACCUAAUUAAAAAAAUCACCGAAAAUAGGGACUAUGAGGAUGACUAAACCUUUUAAUUUUUCAAAGUACGAGGUGAUAAAAGAAAAAUAGUAAAACUAAAGAAAAAGAAUAAAAAAAAUAGGUUUAAACUUCUUUUUGGUCCCUAAGUUAUGAGCAGAUGUUCAGUUUAGUCCUCGCUUUUAAAAGUGUAAAUCUUUGGUUCCUAAGUUAUAAAAAAUGUAUCAAAUAAGUCCUUUUAGCAGUUGUUAAGAAACAAUCAAAAACAGUAUUUCAAGUAAAAAAAGGACUCAUUUGAUACAUUUUUUAUAACUUAGGGACCAAAUAUUUACAUUUUUAAAAACGAGGACUAAACUGAACAUCCGCUUAUAACUUAGGGACGAAAAAGAUGUUUAAACCAAAAAAAUAUCAUCCAUUAAAACAUUCAACGUUUUAAAAUAGGUUUCUUGUAAUGGGAGAAAUGGCUUUCCAUCCUUGCUUGACCUUUUCAGUUAAUUAGUCAAGUUAACGUUUUACUAAUUUAUUACAAACAAAAUUGAAAGAAAUAAAAUAGAAAUACAGAUUGCUUAUUGUUGAAGAAAAAAAUAAUUCACAAAAGAAAUAAAAAUUAAAUUGAUUAAUUAAAAAAAAUUAAUAGGUGAUAAAUAAAUUAAAAAUAAAAAUGUUUUGACAAAAUACGGAUAUGUUAAAUGGUCAUUACACAAAAUUAGGAGUAACGAUCGAAAUCAUGCUGAGUCCAUAGUCAAUGUCACUUAUGACAUUAGGAUUAUUUCAACUUAGUUAGGUAUAGUUUUUCAUUGAAAAAAUUAUUCGACCUGAAACGCGGUUUUGUUUAGGUUAAAUUUAACCUAAAAUUAAAACAGUUUUGCUUUAUAUUUUGUUUUGAAUUGCUAUUUGUGAUUUUUUUUAUCAUAAAAAUGUUAGAAAUUUAUUAAAAGAAUGCUAGAUAUUUUUAUUAGUAAAUAAAGAUUAAUUUUGUUUUAUUAGUAAUUAAGCGUCAGUUUAGUUUUUAAUUUGGCAUUUAAAUAUUAUGGUCAAAUAUUGAUCUAUUAUUUAGGGAUAUAGUGGAGAGUCUGUUUGAAAAACUGUCCACGUGCAUAGUCAGUUUUUCUUUUGUUAUAGAGUUGUUUCUUUGCUACUGUAAGGCUAUAAAGCCUAUCAUCUGUUAUUUGAAUUAAUAAGAGAGUGUUUUUCCACCCAAAAGCAGAGAGUUCUUUACGUGUUUACAAUUGGUAUCAGAGCUCCUUCAUAGGGGCCUGAACCAGAAAGUUACGUGUGAGAGAAACUGAAACACCUAGAGAGAGAACACUGAGUUGUGAGUGUUAAAAGAAAUCAACUUAGAGAUGGCUGAAACAGUGAAGUAUGUUCAACCAGCUAUUCCAAAAUUUGAUGGCCAUUAUGAACAUUGGGCCAAGUUGAUGGAAAAUUUCUUACGUUCCAAUGAAUAUUGGGACUUAGUGGAAAAAGGUAUUGAUGUGGUACCAGACACAGAAGAAGCCUCAGAAUAUGAUAUCAAAAAAAUGGAAGUACAGCAGCUCAAGGACUUAAAGAUCAAAAAUUAUCUCUAUCAAGCAAUUGAUAGGGAAAUUUUGGACACCAUCUUAAAUGACGAAACAUCCAAGGAUAUAUGGGAUUCCAUGAAGCAAAAAUUUCAGGGGUCAACAAGGGUGAAAAGAGCUCAACUACAAGCUCUACGCAAGGAUUUUGAGACUUUGNAGAUGAAGGAAGGAGAAUCAGUAAACUCCUAUUUUGCANGGACCUUAAAAAUUGCAAAAAGCAUGAAGGCAUGUGGAGAAAGUAUGCGGGAGAAUAUUAUUGCUGCAAAAAUUUUACGGUCCAUGCUUCCGAAAUUUAAUUAUGUUGUGUGCUCGAUUGAAGAAUCAAAUAACUUGGACACUAUGACGAUCGAUGAACUNCAGAGCAGCCUUUUAGUUCAUGAGCAAAGGAUGAUGGGUCAUGACGAAGCAGACCAGGCACUGCAAAUUAUCCAUGAAGACAGGAGAGGAAGAGGUCAGGGAAGAGGAAGAGCAAGAGGACGAGUUUUUUUUCGUGGCAGAGGAAGAGGAAAACAGUCCUUCAACAAAGCUGAAAUUGAAUGUUUCAAAUGUCACAAAUUUGGACAUUUUCAAUAUGAAUGUCCUGCCUGGGAGAAAAAUUUAAAUUAUGCAGAGGUGGAAGAAAAAGNCGUCCAGGAGGAUGAACUCNUGCUAAUGACUUAUUUUGAGUUGAAGCAAGGAACAACAGAGGAAUGGUUUCUUGACUCUGGGUGCAGUAACCAUAUGAGUGGUAACAAAGAGUGGUUUUCAGAAUUAGAUGAGAACUUUAGACAUGCAGUAAAACUUGGCAAUGACACAAGAAUAGNUGUAAUGGGGAAAGGAAGUGUUCGGUUGAAUGUUAAUGGAGCCAUACAUGUAAUCUCACAUGUGUACUACGUUCCAGAAUUGAAGAACAAUUUAUUAAGCAUAGGACAACUCCAAGAAAAAGGCUUGUCCAUAAAGAUUCAGAAUGGGAAGUGUAAAGUCUCUCAUCCUGAGAGAGGACAGAUUAUGGAAAUAGAUAUGAAGGAAAAUAGAAUGUUUAUUNUGAAAGCUACCAAGGCACCUUUAAAUUCAACAUGUUUCCAGAUAGAACUGGAGGAAGGGACACAACUUUGGCACAACCGAUUUGGUCACUUAAGUUAUAGUGGUCUGAAAACACUUUUCUCCAAACAAAUGGUGAAUGGACUGCCUGCUNUCACAGUUCCAAGAGAGCUUUGUACACACUGUUUGGCUGGGAAGCAGCACCGAAAUCCUAUGCCCAAGAAAANUCUAUGGAGAGCAUAAAAAAGGCUUCAACUUGUGCAUUCAGAUUUAUGUGGACCUAUCAAUCCAAUAUCAAACAGCAACAAAAGGUAUAUUCUGAGUUUUAUAGAUGAUUUCUCCCGAAAAAUUUGGCUUUAUUUCUUGAAUGAAAAAUCAGAAACCUUUUUACACUUUAAAAGAUUCAAGGUGCUGGUUGAAAAAGAAGNUGGUGUAAGCAUUGGAUGUUUAAGGACAGAUAGAGGAGGAGAAUUCACUUCAAAUGAAUUUGGUGAUUUUUGUAAAAGCCACGNCAUACGUAGGCAGUUAACUGCAGCCUACACACCUCAGCAAAAUGGAGUUGCUGAAAGGAGGAACAUAACAAUUAUGAACAUGGUGCGAUCUAUGCUGAUUGGAAAACAAGUUCCCAAAAUAUUUUGGGCUGAAGCUGCUAGGUGGUGUGCUCAUAUUCUCAACAGAAGUCCUACAACAAUAGUGAAAGACAAAACUCCUGAAGAAGUAUGGAGUUGAGUGAAGCCUACUGUUGAUUACUUUCGAGUAUUUGGAUGUUUGGCUCAUGUGCAUAUAGCAGAUCANCAUCGAGUGAAAUUAGAUGAUAAAAGCAAGAAAUGUGUUUUAUUAGGAGUAAGUGAUGAAUCCAAGGCAUNUCGGUUGUUUGAUCCUGUCAACAAAAGAAUUUUAAUUAGCAGAGAUGUGGUUUUUGAGGAGCAAAAAGGUUGGGAUUGGAAGCAGAAUGCAGAAGAAUGUCAACAUGAUAUUUUAGAAUGUAGAGGUAAUGAAGAAUAUGUGAGUGACUCUAAAGAGCUNUUUGAAGAAAACAAUGUGGAAAAUACUNGUGCUCAAGAAAUCACAGAUCAAACUGANGAUGNUGAGAACAAUUNUGCAAGUCAAACUGAAGAUGCUGAAAACANAAACAGUUCUGCAGGUACUGAUAUUUAUCCUAAUAAUUCUCAUAUUAUUAAUUAUGAGACUUCAGUUGCAGGGAGGGCUAGAAGGAAUAGGAGUGAACCAGUUUGGAUGAAAGAUUANGAAACAGGAGAAGGUCUUUUAGAUGAUAAUGACCUAAAUGUAAUGGUGGUCACCGAAGAUGACCCAAUCUCCUUUGAGGAAGCCAUUAAGAGUGAGAAUUGGAGAAAUGCUAUGGUGAAAGAAAUGGAAUCAAUAGAGAAAAACAUGACUUGGGAGCUGACUGACCUGCCAAUAGGAGUAAAGCCAAUUGGAGUCAAAUGGAUCUUUAAAANCAAGUUUAAAGAAACUGGAGAGAUAGACAAGUUCAAAGCCAGGCUAGUAGCUAAAGGGUAUNUUCAACAAUAUGGAGUGGAUUACACCGAGGUAUUUGCUCCCGUGGCCAGACUUGACACAAUUCGUUUAAUUCUUGCUGUAGCAGCCCAAUAUAGCUGGAAUGUGUUUCAGCUAGAUGUGAAGAGUGCAUUUCUUCACGGUGAACUUAAGGAGGAGAUAUAUGUACAACAACCAGAUGGAUUUGUGAAAANAGGUGAAGAAGAGAAGGUGUACAAAUUAAGAAAGGCACUUUAUGGCCUUAAACAAGCACCGAGAGCUUGGUACAACAAGAUAGAGGCUUAUUUUGUUCGAAAUGAAUUUGAUAGAUGUCUUUGUGAACAUACACUGUUUACAAAAUCAAAGGAGGGAGGUAAAAUUCUAAUUGUAAGUCUUUAUGUGGAUGAUUUGAUAUAUANAGGAAAUGAUGAGAAUAUGUGUGAUGAGUUUAAAAGAUCCAUGAUGAUAGAAUUUGAUAUGUCAGAUUUAGGAAAAAUGAGGUACUUUCUUGGUAUUGAAGUGAUACAGAAUUCAAGUGGAAUCUUUAUAUGUCAGAAGAAAUAUGCUCAGGAAGUGUUGUCACGUUUUGGCAUGGAAAAUUGUAAUCCAGUUAAGAAUCCAANUGUUCCAGGAACAAGAUUGUCAAAAAAUGAUGCAGGUUCCAAGGUNGAUGCAACUUUGUUCAAACAAGUUGUUGGCAGUCUUAUGUAUUUGACUGCAACUCGGCCAGAUUUAAUGUAUGGAGUAAGCUUGAUCANCAGAUUUAUGUCUAACCCCACUGAAUCUCACUGGUGUGCAGCCAAAAGAAUAUUAAGGUACUUGAAGGGAACAACUGAGCUAGGCAUCCAUUAUAAGAAGGGAGGAAAUACAGAGAUUGUAGCAUACUCCGACAGUGAUUUUGCUGGGGAUAUAGAUGACAGAAGAAGUACUUCAGGAUCUGUAUUUUUAUUUGGCUCUGGAGCAGUCUCAUGGUCCUCAAAGNAACAAUCAAUAGUCACAUUAUCCACCAUAGAAGCAGAAUAUAUAGUUGUUGCCUCUUGUGCUUGUCAAUGCAUUUGGAUUCAAAGGGUGUUGGAGAAGCUGAAUUUUAAAGAACANAAGAACACAUUGAUCCUAUGUGACAACAGUUCCAUGAUACAGUUAUCAAAGAAUCCAGUGUUUCAUGGGAGGAGCAAACACAUAGACAUUAAAUUUCAUUUUUUAAGAGACUUGGUGAAAGAAGGAACUAUCAUGUUAAGUUACUGCCGCUCAGAAGUUCAAGUUGCUGAUAUAAUGACCAAGCCACUCAAGUUAGAGCAAUUUUCAAAGUUGAGGAAGAUGUUAGGCAUGUUGGAAGCUUCAGAAAUAAACUAAAUGCUACUGCNUAUAGUUUAAGGGAGGGAAUAUUAGUAAAUAAAGAUUAAUUUUGUUUUAUUAGUAAUUAAGCGUCAGUUUCAGUUUUUAAUUUGGCAUUUAAAUAUUAUGGUCAAAUAUUGACCUAUUAUUUAGGGAUAUAGUGCAGAGUCUGUUUAGAAAACUGUCCACGUGCAGAGUCAGUUUUUCUUUUGUUAUAGAGUUGUUUCUUUGCUACUGUAAGGCUAUAAAGCCUAUCAUCUGUUAUUUGAAUUAAUAAGAGUGUUUUUCCACCCAAAAGCAGAGAGUUCUUUACGUGUUUACAAUUUUAUGGUAGAUAUUUAUUAAAUAAAAAAUUAUAUAUAUAUAUAUAUAUAUAUAUAUAUAUAUAUAUAUAUAUAUAUAAUCACUCCACUUAAUUAGGUAAUCACAAAUUAAGAGGUAGAAUUAGGAAGACAUGUUGAAAUGUUGAAAAGACAUAUUUAGAGGUUCCAAAUACAUGUUAAAAGAUUAGUAAGAAUUUCACAUGACAUUGUGUAAUUUCAUUAUAUUUUUAGGUCAAAUAAGUGGUCUUUAGCGGUAUUCAAUUUAAUACAAUAUUUUAAAUUGAAUUAAUAUUUUUGGUAAGGUAUUAAACAAAUGGUCCAUAUCAGCAUUGAAUUACAUAAUGUUUUCCUUAUAGCCUUGACAUUGAAUAGAAUAAAAUAUAGCAUAUCAUACAUGUGAUCCUUAACGCAUUCAAUUAAAUACAAUAUUUUUAAUCAUAUAAGUGCACCACAACAAGAAAGUGGUCCACUAUAACUGAGCCCCAUAGUAAUAUGUUUCAUAAGUGGGUGACAACUUUUUCUUUUUUCCAAAUUUAAAUAAAAUAAGCUACAAAAAACAUCUACUGCAUUACCAUAUGAGGUGUACAAAGGCUGUGAUGUUACUAGCUUAAGACCCUAAAACUUGUGUCAUCGUACUUCUUAUGCAUCUUAUUGUUGUUGUUGUCGUUGUUGGUUUGUUACUUAGUACAACCAUAGGUGUAGAUACAUCCACUCCUAGUUGUUGCAGUUGCUACAUCUGACCUAUUGUCAUCCUUAAUCAUUACCCACAUUUGAAGGCAAAUAAUCAUUAAUGUAUUCUACAUUUAUUUCAUGUUCUCAAACUUCUUUAAUAGCACAAAUGACCCUUCACCAACAUUUGUUCUAUUCCUAACUGCUUUUUUUAUUUUAUUUUUAAUCUUUUCCACUUAACCAAUACAGGACGAAUAUUUCCACGAUGUGGAUCAUCUACAACCCUUUCACUGGCCAUCCCAAAGCCAUCAUCAUCAUUUGCAACCCUCUCUUCUUCAUUGUCAUCAAGUUUAUCUACAACUGAUCCUUCUUCUUCCUCAUCCUUAGCAAUGCCACCUUUUUUAGGCCUAUUAACAUUUUCUUCAUGCAAAUUCACCUCUUCUUUAGGCCCAUUAACCUUUUCUUUAGGCCCAUUCACCUUUUCUUUAGACGCAUUCAGUUAUUCUCCAUUCACAUUUAUCUCUACUUCAAGCGCACUCAAUUCUUCUUCAGACACAUUCAACUUUUCAUCCCUAACAUCUUCAUUCACCUCUUCAUCUACAACCUCUUCUUGUCCCGCCUCUUCACCACCACUCCCUCCACUCCAUUAAUAUCAAAGAAAUUAAUUACUUUAGCUUGACUAGAAAAAUGUUGAACACAUAUAUCAAUUUCGUUGUUAUUAACCUCUACUUACUUAAUUGAGUAUAUUGAUUUCGUAGCAUUCCUCAAUAGUCUUAUAUUAUUGUGAAAUGUUUGUUUUGAGCCCUUCCACCAAAGUUUUACAUCACAUAUAUUUUUGAACUCUUUAACUAUUCUCAAUGUUUCAAAGUAUGAUCAUCGAUGAGGAUCAAUUUCUUAAACUACAUGUAUUUCCCCACCAAUGUAUUUUAGUCUCCUAUUCUUUUAGAACUUGCCCAUACGAUGAAAAGCAACAUUAAACCCCAUUUCAAAACCUAUAUCUUAAAUCACAACUCAAAAUCAAACAACCAUAACCCUAAACUCACUCAACAUUGCACAAAAAAUAAAAUCAAUUUACUCGGACAAACCUUUUGAAUGCAAACUCUAGAAAUUACAAUUCUUCUCGUCUUUGUUAAUUCUAACACAAAUCCCACAGGUCUUCUUUUCUUCGUUAAUUCUAACAUACAUUUCUUAAGAAAACUAAACCUUAAUUUCAUUUUAUUUUGAAACCUUAAUAAUGUAAUUAUAAACUAUUUUAUUUUCCAAUUAUAAUACGUGUCUUAAAAAAGUUGGAAAUAUGACACAUCGUUUUUCGUGUAAAAAAGUUAACGUAUUAGUAGUGAAACACUAAAUCCGGGACUUUCUUAAAGAACAGAACUAGAAAUAGAACAAAGUUUAAAAAUGAACAAAAACAGAAAACAAAUGAUAAUUUAGAGAAAAAAAAUAAUUAACCCUCAAUAAAUUAAAUAAUUAAGAAAGAUAAUAAAAAUUAUUAAAUAAAAGACAAUUUUUUUAAAUGAAACAAAAUAAAUAACAAAAAAAAAACUGGGAAAAUGAAUUUUAUACAUUACUUAAUAUAUUAAGAAUGAUUUAGUAAUUUAAGUUAAAAAUAAAGAUAAAUAUAAGUGAAGUAGCUGACCAUCCUCAUAUUAUUCACAUUUAUAUGUUUUCUUUUGUUCGUGUAAAUGAAUUUACUUAUCAUUAUUGUGAAGAGAAAAAAGAGAGAGACACACGCUAAGUUUUGUACCUUAAUUAAGAAGGAAAAAAAUAUAUAAGAGAGUGAGUUAGGUUAGUUCAAUUAUAAAACUUAAUUAGGAUUUAAGAAACGAAAAUAGAAACAGCGUAAUUACAGGGAGAACUAAACGACGGGCUGAACGGGAAAAUCUGAAAAGCAGAGAAGAAGCAAUAAUUUCGGCUUCUUUAGCCAUACCAAACGCUCCCUUAUGGCCCACAAGCGUUUUCACAACACUAUAAAUACCAGCACCCUCUUUUCAUUCCUACAUCACAGAAUAAAAGAGAAAACCUCACUGCACCUUCAACCCUUGUUUCUUCCUUCUCUUUCUUUCUGCACUUUCUGUAGCCAUGGCAUCUCAAGUCAACUUCUUCCUCGUUGCUCUCAUCGCAACACUUUUCUUCGCCGUGGCCACCGCUCAAGAAUUGUCUCCGGCCCCGGCACCGGGACCUGAUGCCGGAGCAGGCGCUUCCGUGUCAAGCUCCAUGGCCGUGAUCGGAGCUUCGAUUGUGGUUUCAGUGUUCGCGAUAUUGAAGCAGUGAGUUUACUGGAACGGUGAUCUGAUUGCGAUUGUGUCUUAUGGAAAGAGAGAAAGAGAUUAUGAUACGAUGUAACGUGAACCAUUCAUUGUAGGUGUCGGUGAGAUGUAACAGGGAUUUUUAAUCCCUUUUAUCUUUCAUCCAUUUUUUUUAUUCAUUAAUUAAUAUAUAUUUUUCUAAUUCUUUAUAAUUAAUCAUUACUUUUCAAAAUUUAUUACUUGGUAAUUAAUUUUAGUUUUAUACUAAUUUUUUUUUUCUAUUAUGUCAUAUUUCCAAACAGUUUAUCUGAACUUCAGUCUUUUAAGAGGGGAAAAUUUGAAAAAUGCGAUCAAUACGGGAAAUUUGUAAAAUGAGUUUAAUUGUUAAAACGUGAAAUUCUAAUAUAUAAAAAUAUAAUUGAUUAGAUGAAAAGAUUGUUUUAAUUUAUUAAAGUUGGGUAAUAGAUUAGUUUUGUUAGUUAAUACAAUUAAAGAAGUGUUUGAUAGUUUUUAAUAAUUGUCUUAUUCAAAAAAAAAAAUACCAUAUAGUUAAUUUUAAGUAUUUAUUAAAGAUUUCAAAUUUAUAUAAAAAAAUACAUUAACUUAUUCAGUAAACACGCGUCCCAAUUAAUAAAAAAUUAAACACAUAUUCAAUUAUAUAUUAUAGUAAUUAUUAAGGGGAUUAAGAUUUAUAGGUAAAUUUAAUGAAAAAAGUAGUAACUUGAUUUAUUCAAUAAAAAAUCAAUCCAAUUUGUUUAUCAGCUCAAAAUUUAACCAAAAGUAAAACUCCUAUAAUCUCGGAAAAGUAAAUCAAUCCAACUGGUUUAUUAGCUCAAAAUCUGACAACUUUCAUUCUUUAACAAAAUUUGAAGAUAAAAAUGAUUAAAAAAUUUGGAAAAAAGACAAUUUAAUUUGUUAUGAAAAUUAAAAUACUGAAAACACAAUUAACUCAAAAUCUUCUCCAAUCUUUGAUAUAUAUAUAUAUAUAUAUAUAUGCAAAAUCAUGAGAGGAGAAUUUUAAUUUCUCAUGAGAAAAUUUUAAUUUCUCGUGAGAUAAGAAUUUGAAUUACUCAUGAGAUAAGAAUUUGAACUUCUCAUUAGAUGACAAUUUGAAUUUCUCAUGAGAUGAGAAUUUGAAUUUGAAAUUCUCAUGAGAUGAGAAUUUGAAUUUCUCACGAGAUGAGAAUUUGAAUUUCUCACGNNNNNNNNNNNNNNNNNNNNNNNNNNNNNNNNNNNNNNNNNNNNNNNNNNNNNNNNNNNNNNNNNNNNNNNNNNNNNNNNNNNNNNNNNNNNNNNNNNNNNNNNNNNNNNNNNNNNNNNNNNNNNNNNNNNNNNNNNNNNNNNNNNNNNNNNNNNNNNNNNNNNNNNNNNNNNNNNNNNNNNNNNNNNNNNNNNNNNNNNNNNNNNNNNNNNNNNNNNNNNNNNNNNNNNNNNNNNNNNNNNNNNNNNNNNNNNNNNNNNNNNNNNNNNNNNNNNNNNNNNNNNNNNNNNNNNNNNNNNNNNNNNNNNNNNNNNNNNNNNNNNNNNNNNNNNNNNNNNNNNNNNNNNNNNNNNNNNNNNNNNNNNNNNNNNNNUGAGAAUUUGAAUUAAUCAUGAAAUGAGAAUUCGAAUUUCUCAUGAGAUGACAAUUUGAAUUUCUCAUGAGAUGACAAUUUGAAUUUCUCAUGAGACGAGAAUUUGAAUUUGAAAUUAUCAGGAGAUGAGAAUUUGAAUUUCUCACGGAUGAGAAUUUGAAUUACUCAAGAGAAUUUGAAUUUCUCGUCAGAUGAGAAUUUGAAUUUCUCAUGAGAUGAGAGUUUGAAUUUCUCAUGAGAUGAGAUUUUGAAUUUCUCAUGAGAUGAGAGAUUGAAUUUCUCAUGAGAUGAGAGUUUGAAUUUUUCAUGAGGUGAGAAUUUGAAUUUCUCAUGAGAUGAGAAUUUGAAUUUGAUUUUGAAUUUGAAUUACUCAUAAGAUGACAAUUUGAAUUUCUCAUGAGAUGAGAAUUUUGAAUUUCUCACCCGACCCCCCACCCCCAACCCCCGACAUACUUUUAUUAACAAAUAUGAUAUAUCCAACCAAUUGUAAAACCUCUUAAAAUAAUGGAGAGAAAAAGCAUAUAUUUAUUAAUAUUAAAAUGGAAAACAAAAGUAAAAGAAAAAUUAAUAAUUUAUAACAAACAUUAUAAUGAUUAUGUGGACCUAUACUUAAAGAUUAUACCUUAUGACAAUAUUGCUUUGUAUGUUUUGAUAUCAUAAUUCACUAUAAAUAAAUGCUUAAGACUUAUAUAUAUAUAUAUAUAUAUAUAUAUAUAUAUAUAUAUAUAUAUAUAUAUAUAUAUGAUAUGUAUAAUUUUAUAUUGUGUUGUUAAGACAAAGUUUAUAUUUACGUUAUGAUUUAGAAGUAUUUUUACAUUUGAGAUGGAAAUGAGUAAUUUUUAAAAAGAUGAGAAAAUGAAAAAAAAAAUUGUUUUCAAAGCAUAACUUUAAAUAAAUAAAUUGUGUUUUGAGAUAUAACUUCAUUUGAAGAAAAAAAUGUAAUUAUUUUCCUUUUUUUUUUUACUUAUUUGAAUAAUGUCAUCCUAUUUUCCCUUUUUCUAAUUGGCAAUAUAUUUUUUUAUGUUACGAGAAUGUUCAUUAUUUUCAAUUUAUUGUCCAAAAUUAUGAGAAUAAGCUUUUAUGAAAUUGCAUGAUUAUUUGGAUCGGGUUUAAAAGGGACUUUUGUGAAUGUGAUCAUGUUUUAUUUUUUGUAAAUUUGUGUUUGUGAUUGGUUCGACCAUGGCUUGAGAAGUUGUCUUCUGAGAAUAAUAUAUUUCACUUUUGACUGAGAAAGCUAUUCUUUGAGAGUGUUUUGUUUUAUCAUAGUUGGAAAUGUUCCCUUACGAGUACGAUAUGUUUCAUUUUUUAUCAUAGAGAUAAUGAUUUUGUGAAAACAAAUUCUAAAAAACCCACAAUCAAAUAGUGAGAGUGAAAAAUUUUCCUUUUUCAUUGUUUCAAACAUGUUUUCCGAUUACAUUAUUUAAUUAGAUUUCUUUUUGACUAUUAUGUCAAAAGUAUGGUUUUUUUAAAGAAUACUUUCGUCCUUUAUUUAAUUAAAUUAAAAUUGCAUAAGUCGAACUGCUGUAUGCCCAUUUAUGUGAUUACUCAACUAUUUAAUUUAAUAAUAUCAUAUCACAUUAAAAGUGCAUAAACUUUAAAUAAUUGUAAAAUGCGUAGAUAAAUUAGGUAAUCUGAGUAAUUGUUUUUCCUCUUUUUCAUUUCUGGUUUGUAUCUCUUACGAGCUGGUUAGAUAAUUUAAUUUAAAUUAAGAUUAAUUUUUUCUCCUUUUUUUUAAAUUUCUUUAUUAUUAAUGAAAUGUUUAAUCUGUCCAUUCUAAAAAUAAUAUGAAAUUUAUUAUAAUCCUAUAAUCAAUAGUGUCUCGAUUUUAUAAAUUUUCACAAUAUAUUAUUAUAAUAUUGAUUAUAAAUUGUACCAUUAUAUAGAUUAAAAUCAUCAAUAUUUAUUUGUUAGCUACUUCAUAAUUAAUUAGGUAGAAAGUAAUCAUAUAUACUUUUAAAAGUUGAGAAACCUAAUUGAAUCUUUUAUUAAUAAAAUGAACCAAAUUAAAUAAAAACAUUAGAAACAACUGAAUAAAAAAAACAAGGAAUAAUAAGAAUAAUGGAAAAUAUUAAUAUAAUAUAAUAAUAGAAACAAUAAUGAAUACAAAAACUCCUCUUAUUUUUCACUAACACCUACAAUAAAUGAUUUACUAUAUAAGAAUAAUCUCUCUUUCUUUCUCUCUUCUCCAUAAGACAUAGAUCAACUCAUCAUAAUCACGAUUAGUGUAAUAAAUACUGUUUACGCCAAAUCCACCAUGGACUCAUCAGAUAAGCAAGAUUCAGUGCUUGAAUAUGGCGAACAUCGAAAGCACAAUCGAAGCUCCAAUCACGGCCACAGAGCUUGAAACAGAUCCGGCAGCUCCGGCAUCGGGUCCUGGAGCCGGCGCCGGAGACAGAUCUUGAGCGGUGGCGACGGCGAAGAAAAGUGUGGCGACGAGAGCCACGAGGAAGGCGUUGACGGAGAAUGCUUGAGAUGCCAUGACUCGAAAAAGCGCAGAGAGAAAGAAAACGAAGAAACAAGAAUUGAAGGUGUUGUGAGGCUUUUGUUUUUAUUCCGCGAUGGAAGAAAGAAGAGAGGGUGGUGGUAUUUAUAGGGUUGUGGGAACGCGUGUGGGUCCCACGACAACGUGGGACAGGUGGAUGAUGAGGAAGAUGUGUGGUGUAAACGAAAGGCAGUGAGUUGUGAGAGAAGGUUUCGUUUGGUUUGAAAAAAAAAAGCCGACAUUGAUGUUUGUUGUGUCCAUUUGAGCUUUUCUCGUUGUUGUGUCGUCAUGUUUGGAAUUCUUGUAACUCAUUAGCUGAAUUGUUAAACAAACUUCAUUAGUUGGAAUCGUCUGGUGCAUGCAUAUUCCAAAGGGUUAUGUAGAAAUUUAUUAAUUUUAGAUAAAUAUAUUAAAGUAGUAUAAUUUUGAUAUGAGUUGUGUUGAAAUUAGAUACUAUUGAAAAAAAAAUGUAUUAGUCCUUUGUUAAUAAAGGAAAGAUGGACUAUAUAUAACUUUUGAAAAUCGGUGAUGUGGAUGUACUUUGAUUAAAUAGUGUAUUUUAAUUAGCAUGGUAAAAUCAAAUUUUAAAAUAAAACAAACAUUAAUUUAAGAAAACUUAAUUAAGAACAUUUUCAUCAGGAGUUCGAAACUAAUUGUGAGUUACAAACUAGAUUUUUCUAAUGUUUUUGUUGAAAUAUGAAACUACGUGGGUUGUUAGAAAAAUAAAAUUUUUCUACAAAAGCUAAUCAUUGUUUGACUUAUAUUAAGUCUAUUAUGAAAUUAGAAAGAGUAACAUGACACAUAUUUAUAUUUAUUUGACAUAUUUAAUAAAGGUAAAAUAGUCUUAAAAAAGUAAUUUUUUUAAAUUUUCAAAAAAAGAGAAAGUAAAAAUAAAGAAAAAUAAUGUCAAAUUAAUUUGAAAAAAAUUAUGUGAGUCAAAAUAUCAUUUCUCAAUUAAAAAGUCGAGAAUUCUUUAAAAAGUGAAUCAGAUAUCCUUAAUGUACAUAAUAUAUAGAGCGAUAAAUAAGAGUGUUAAUGUUAAAACAUAGUUAGAGUAUCACUAGGGCAUAAUUUAAUGUUAAAAAUAGAUGCCUUUUUUUUUUAAAUUAAAUGAACAAUUUUACUAUGAAUGUUAGGGGACUGAUGUGUAAUUCUUUCUAAAUAUUUAGAAAAACUAAGUGAAAAAGAAUGUUUUUGAAGAGUUUAAUAUCGGAUGCUAAGGAGUCGACGUUAUAUCUCUUUUAGAUAUCUGUCUACAGGGGGUCAACGUCUAAUUGUUUUUAUAACAUUUAAUAAAAUUAGCUAGAAGACAAUGUUUCUUGAAGAGUUUGAUGUCAAAGGCCUAGAGAGUGACAUCAUAUUCCUUUAGACGUCACAUAUUCGUGUGAUCAAUGUCUAAUAGUGUUUAAAAUAAUAAAAAAACCUAAAUCAGAAUGACCUUUCUUCUACCCUUUCGACAUCGGAUACAUAAAGGUUGACAUCAUAUCCAUUUAGACAUUGGAUUAUGUGGGUGGCUGACGUCAUAUGAUGUUUGAAACAUUAAAACAUCUAAUGCAAAAAGCCAUUUUCCUACACCCUUUAAACGUCGAUCCUCGUACGAUCCGACAUCUAAUGAGAUACGACGUUGGCUCCCAGAGAAACUGACAUCAUAUGUUGUUUAAAAAAUUAGUAAAAAAAAAUAGCGCAAAAGUAUUUCCCUUUUAUUGUUCCUUUGUAUUCUCACUUAUUAGGCCUCCCAACGACUUGGGCGACUACCACCAAAGAUAACUUUUCAACCAUUUAACACAAAUGCAUGUUUUGUGGCUGCUUUGGGUAUAAUUUUAUAAUGUUUUCACCAAUUAUUUGUGUACAGUUUGUGUGUUUUGAACAUUUAAGCACGACGCGAAUUCUCUUUUCUCCCUCAUAGACAAUGACUUCUCUACACCAACAAUGACACCACCCUUCAACUUCAUUCAAGCUUUUUGGUUGGAUACACGAUUGGUUUUUUGUUUUCAAUAUACAUUGCAUGCAAUUUGUCUUUUAAUUGGAUAUUAGAUGUGAUUUUGGUUUUUUCCGAAUACUUAGUCAAAUUUUAAGAUGCAAUGGUUUUCAUAUACUUAGCCAAUUUUUUUAGGUAUUUGAUAAACUUAUUUUUUUAGUUCCUAUUGCACUCUGUCUCUUAUUCCUUAGUUGUGUGUGGCAUGGGUUAGUUUUUCUUCACCAUAAUUGUUUUUAUCUUAAACAAAUUUUUAGUUGGUUUUUUUGCAUUUUAUUUCUAAUUAAAUUUUUAAAAUAUUUGUAGUGUGAAAUUUAGAUUUAUUAUUAGUUUAAAUAAUUUUAGUUUUAUUAAGAUUUAUUAUAAUUUUAGUUUUAUUAAUAUUUAAUAUAAUUUUAGUUAAACACUGAGUGAACCUUAAAUCUCAAAUGUUUUGAUCUGACAAUUUAGAAAAAUUAUUUUUCAUAAUUUACUAUAACGUGUACAUUGAAGUUUAUGCAUAAAUUUGAUGAAAUUUCGGUAAAAAUCAUUUUGUAUUCUUCUUCAAAUGCAUACUUGGUUGUGACCAUGAGUGAUCACUUUCUAUUCGUGUACUUUAGAGACCAAUGCGAAAUGUUGCAUAAAUUUUAUCAAAUUUAUGAUUUUAGACUUCUUCUUAUACAUGUUAAGAAAUUAUGAAAAAUAUUUAUUCUAAAUGGAUAUGGCCUCACCUUGUGAGAGUUAAAAAAAAUGAGACUAAUGAAGUUUGUUGCAAGUAUAAUAUGAUUUAAAGCUGGAUAAAUGAACGCCGUAUCAAUGAAAAGUAUGAAAAAGAGGUUUCUGAGUUCUUACAAUAUGUUCAACAACACACAAUCUUUUUGAACGAGACAUUUUUUUGUCAUUGUGUUUAUUGUCUUAAUAAAUUACGUCAAGACUUAGGCAAUAUAUGUGAUCAUUUAUUCAUCUUCGUUAUAGUGAGGAGUUAUACAAUUUAGAUUUGGCAUGAAAAAGUAUUACACAAGCCUACAACGUCACUGGGAACAAAUUAAGUAAACGAAUGGAUGAGUGAUCAGUUAGAGAACAUGGUACAUGAUGUUGAUGAAGAAAAUUUUGGAAGAACUCAUUUAUAUGAUUUUGUUAAGUUCAAUUCAGAGGAAAAAUUGUAUCUAGGAUGCUCUAACUUUACAUGAUUGUUAGCAACUUUAAAAUGUUUAGUUUAAAAAAGAGGAAUAGAUAGAUUGAUAAAAAGUUUCACAAAAUUGUUGGAUUUGCUGAAGGAGAUGCUUCCAAAAAAUAACAUGUUACAUAUUCGUAAUUACAAGGCGAAUGAAAUUCUAUGUCCAAUGAGUUUGGAAUACUAAAAGAUAAAUACAUGCCCCAAUGAUUGUGUAUUGCAUAGAGACGAGUUUGUUUCAGUGAAGGCGUGUCCAACAUGUGGUUUAUCGCAAUUUAAAAAGAAAGUUGAUGGAAAUAGUAGUGAUGAAGACAAAAAUGGCCGACCUACUAAGGUGGUGUGAUACUUGCCUAUACUACAUAGGUUGAAAUGAUUCUUUUCCAUUAAAGAAGAUGUGAAGAACCUGAAAUAGCACGUUGAUAGAAAAAUGUGUGAUAAUAUUCUUUGAUACUUAGCUGAUUUCCCAUAAUGAAAGAAGAUUGAUGAAACAUUUCUAAAAUUUGGUACAAAGUCAAGAAAAUUAAGACUCACACUUGGUAGUACGGAUAGUAUGAAUCCUUAUGGCAAAUUAAGUAUCAAAGAUAGUUCAUGGCUAAUUUUUUAUGAUUUACAAUCAUUCUUCUUUGUUGUGCUUGAAAAAAAAAAUGUAUGAUGUUUUCUAUGAUGAUAUGGAAUCUGACAAUCUAAAAAUGAUAUUGAUAUGUAUAUGAAGUUGUUGAUCAAUAAUUUGAAAAUAAUGUGAAAAGAAAGCAUUAAUGUGUUCAAUUCAUAUUCUUAAGAAAUUUUUCAUUUCCAUACAAUAUUGUUUUGCACCAUAAACGAUGAAACUUAUUUAUGAGUACAUGGUAAUUUAUUUAUGAAUUUAAAAAAUAUAUUUUGAAUUACACGAAUUUAUUAAAAAAAUAGGUACAUGAUCAUUUUUAACUUUUUUUUUUAGUAUAAUUUUAAAGAGGAAUCAUUUUAAGUUUAUGAAUUUUUACGAGGGUGAAAAAAAUACAAAAGAAGAAACAACCUAGUUAUCGUACGGGUUUUUGAAAAAAAGGAAGAAAACAAAAUAGAGAAUAUAAAUAAAAAGUAAAUAAGGGGUUGGCAAGGUGUGUAUACCGCGUAGCAGACCUGUCCAAACAUAAAAAAAAAUGGAGAAAAGUUGAUAUAUAAAAUGGAGCACAGCAGAGACAACUGAAACAAAUUUUAAUCAACUAAUAAUUAAAAAUACAAAAAUCGAUCUCAGAAAAACUUGCAAACCCAGUCUUAAUUAUGUCCCUAUAAAAAAAAUGGUUUGUUGUACACUUACAUAAAAUUUGAAAUUAUUAUUUUUGUCCAGAUAAUACAGAAGUGUAAAAUUUUAUUUAUUUUUCUAUGAUACGUAUUUAUAUUUUAAAAAUAAAACUAUUAUUUUAUGAUAAAUUAAUAAAAUAUAUUUUGUGAAGGUGCUUUUUAAAAAAUGUAACACGCUGAUAAUUGUGUACUAGAGCAAUUACAACACUACAGUAGGAUGAACCGGUUUCUAUUUUGUGGUGGGCUAAGCUUUUAUAAUAAAUAGGAAAAUGUUUAAUAUCUAUAUACUUAUAAAAUGUAAACAAAUUUAAAUAACAUUAAAAUUUUCAAAAUAUUAAAUAUAAAUUUUAAUAAGAGACUGAAUAACUUCAUUAAAAAACGUUUAAAUUUACAAAUAUGAAUUAUCAGUAAUUUUUAGAUUAUUUCUAUCUUUAAAAAUAUAUUGAUUUUAUCUAUUAAAAAUUUCUUAAUACACUAUAAAAUAUCAAAAUCAGUAAAUAACAGAAUAAAAAGUAGAGAGAAUAGAAAAACAACGUAAUGGAGUACAUUUAUAUUAAUAAUAAUAAUACAUGGUGAAAUUGAAAAAAAAAAUAAAAAUCUCUCUUAUUUCUCACUAACACCUACAAUAAAUGGUUUAAUAUAUAACAAUAAUCUCUUCCUCUUCUCUCUUUCUUUGCAUAAGACAUAGAUCAACUCAUUAUAAUCAUCAUAAUAAAUAUUGUUCACACAAAAUCCACAACAAAACUAAUAUACGGAAUAAACUCAUCAGAUAAGCGAGAUUCAGUGCUUGAACAUGGCAAACAUCGAAAGCACAAUCGAAGCUCCGAUCACGGCCACAGAGCUAGAAACAGAUCCGGCUGCUCCGGCAUCAGGUCCUGGUGCGGGGGCCGGAGACAGAUCUUGAGCGGUGGCGACGGCGAAGAAAAGUGCCGCAACGAGAGCCAAGAGGAAGGCGUUGACGGAGAAUGCUUGAGAUGCCAUGACUCGAAAAAGCGUAGAGAGAAAGAGAACGAAGAAACAGGCGUUGAAGGUGCUGUGAGCUUUAGGUUUAUUUUGCAAUGAAUGAGGGAAGAGAGGGUGGUGGUAUUUAUAGUGUUGGGAAAUGCGUGUGGGCCCCAGGAAAACGUGGACAGGUGUGUGGUGAAGACGAUGUGCGGUGUGAAUGAACGGUAGAGAGUUGGUGAGAGAGACUGUUCUUUACGUUUCAUUGCUUUUUCGGUCUGAAAGAUUCACGUUGAAUCCGUUCCGUUAUAAAUGUGACGUAAAAUAAAUCAAUGAUAGGAAACGACUAGUUGAAAAACGGUUCCCUUAAACGUAGGGAUUUGUUUGUUUACCUAAGGAAACUUCUCGACGGUGUAAUGAAGAG
rnacentral:lncRNA from 1 species